rnacentral:rRNA from 2 species
CACGCCGCGUGAGUGAUGAAGGCUUUCGGGUCGUAAAACUCUGUUGUUAGGGAAGAACAAGUACGAGAGUAACUGCUCGUACCUUGACGGUACCUAACCAGAAAGCCACGGCUAACUACGUGCCAGCAGCCGCGGUAAUACGUAGGUGGCAAGCGUUAUCCGGAAUUAUUGGGCGUAAAGCGCGCGCAGGCGGUUUCUUAAGUCUGAUGUGAAAGCCCACGGCUCAACCGUGGAGGGUCAUUGGAAACUGGGGAACUUGAGUGCAGAAGAGAAAAGCGGAAUUCCACGUGUAGCGGUGAAAUGCGUAGAGAUGUGGAGGAACACCAGUGGCGAAGGCGGCUUUUUGGUCUGUAACUGACGCUGAGGCGCGAAAGCGUGGGGAGCAAACAGGAUUAGAUACCCUGGUAGUCCACGCCGUAAACGAUGAGUGCUAAGUGUUAGAGGGUUUCCGCCCUUUAGUGCUGCAGCUAACGCAUUAAGCACUCC